rnacentral:rRNA from 1 species
GACAGAGGGUGCAAACGUUGUUCGGAAUUACUGGGCGUAAAGCGCGUGUAGGCGGCUUGGCAAGUCGGGUGUGAAAGCCCUGGGCUCAACCUAGGAAGUGCACUCGAAACUGCCUCGCUGGAGUGCCGGAGAGGAAAGCGGAAUUCUCGGUGUAGAGGUGAAAUUCGUAGAUAUUGGGAAGAACACCGGUGGCGAAGGCGGCCCACUGGACGGACACUGACGCUGAGGCGCGAAAGCGUGGGGAGCAAACAGG